rnacentral:rRNA from 1 species
GCUGACGAGUGGCGGACGGGUGAGUAAUGUCUGGGAAACUGCCUGAUGGAGGGGGAUAACUACUGGAAACGGUGGCUAAUACCGCAUAACGUCGCAAGACCAAAGAGGGGGACCUUCGGGCCUCUUGCCAUCAGAUGUGCCCAGAUGGGAUUAGCUUGUUGGUGAGGUAACGGCUCACCAAGGCGACGAUCCCUAGCUGGUCUGAGAGGAUGACCAGCCACACUGGAACUGAGACACGGUCCAGACUCCUACGGGAGGCAGCAGUGGGGAAUAUUGCACAAUGGGCGCAAGCCUGAUGCAGCCAUGCCGCGUGUAUGAAGAAGGCCUUCGGGUUGUAAAGUACUUUCAGCGGGGAGGAAGGUGUUGUGGUUAAUAACCGCAGCAAUUGACGUUACCCGCAGAAGAAGCACCGGCUAACUCCGUGCCAGCAGCCGCGGUAAUACGGAGGGUGCAAGCGUUAAUCGGAAUUACUGGGCGUAAAGCGCACGCAGGCGGUCUGUCAAGUCGGAUGUGAAAUCCCCGGGCUCAACCUGGGAACUGCAUUCGAAACUGGCAGGCUUGAGUCUUGUAGAGGGGGGUAGAAUUCCAGGUGUAGCGGUGAAAUGCGUAGAGAUCUGGAGGAAUACCGGUGGCGAAGGCGGCCCCCUGGACAAAGACUGACGCUCAGGUGCGAAAGCGUGGGGAGCAAACAGGAUUAGAUACCCUGGUAGUCCACGCCGUAAACGAUGUCUACUUGGAGGUUGUGCCCUUGAGGCGUGGCUUCCGGAGCUAACGCGUUAAGUAGACCGCCUGGGGAGUACGGCCGCAAGGUUAAAACUCAAAUGAAUUGACGGGGGCCCGCACAAGCGGUGGAGCAUGUGGUUUAAUUCGAUGCAACGCGAAGAACCUUACCUGGUCUUGACAUCCACGGAAGAAUUCAGAGAUGGAUUUGUGCCUUCGGGAACCGUGAGACAGGUGCUGCAUGGCUGUCGUCAGCUCGUGUUGUGAAAUGUUGGGUUAAGUCCCGCAACGAGCGCAACCCUUAUCCUUUGUUGCCAGCG